GGGGCGGGGCGUCUCCGACCCGGGCACCGCGUGAGGCUCCCCGCCCCGGGACUAUGUCGCGGGCGCGUAGCCACCGGCGCGCGAGUCUCUUCCUGGCAGCGGUUUUCCCGCGCGGGGUAACGACCAGGGUCACGGGCAGGCGGGAGCUGAGCGCGCGGCCCGCGCCGCAGGAGCCGGGCAUGGAAUACCAGGAUGCUGUGCGCACACUCAACAGCCUGCAGACCAAUGCCAGCUACCUGGAGGAGGUGAAGCGCCGGCGGGGUGACCUCCAGACACAGCUGGAAACCAUGAAGCUGUACUUGGCACGGAGUGGGCUGCAGGUGGAGGACUUGGACCAGCUGAACAUCAUCCACGUUACUGGGACGAAGGGGAAGGGCUCCACCUGUGCCUUCACUGAACGGAUCCUCCGGAACUAUGGCCUGAAGACGGGAUUCUUUAGAUCUCCCGGCAGCUCUCCCCACCUGGUGCAGGUGCGCGAGCGGAUCCGCAUCAAUGGGCAGCCCAUCAGCCCCGAGCACUUCACCAAGCACUUCUGGCGCCUCUACCAUCGGCUGGAGGAGACCAAGGACAGCAGCAGCUGUGUCUCCAUGCCUGCAUACUUCCGCUUCCUCACGCUCAUGGCCUUCCAUGUCUUCCUGCAAGAGAAGGUGGACCUGGCAGUGGUGGAAGUGGGUAUCGGUGGGGCUUAUGACUGCACCAACAUAAUCAGGAAGCCUGUGGUAUGUGGGGUCUCCUCUCUUGGCAUCGACCACACUAGCCUUCUGGGGGACACGAUGGAGAAGAUCGCCUGGCAGAAAGGGGGCAUCUUCAAGCAUGGCGUCCCUGCCUUCACCGUGCCCCAGCCUGAUGGGCCCCUGGCCGUGCUGAGGGAGCGUGCUGAGCAGAUCUCAUGUCCCCUCUACCUGUGUCCACCGCUGGAAGCCCUGGAGGAAGGGGGGCCACCGUUGACCCUGGGCCUGGAGGGAGAGCACCAGCGGUCCAAUGCCGCGUUGGCCUUGCAGCUGGCCCGCUGCUGGCUGCAGCGAAAGGACCACCAAGGCAUUGGGGAGCUGAAAGCGUCCAGGCCCAGCCUCCUGUGUCAGCUGCCUCUGGCACCCGUGUUCCAGCCCACAUCCCACAUGCGGCAUGGGCUUCGGGACACGGAGUGGCUUGGCCGGACGCAGAUACUGUGCCGCGGGCCCCUCACCUGGUACCUGGAUGGCGCACACACCUGCAGCAGCGUGCAGGCCUGUGUGCGCUGGUUCCGCCAGGCGCUGCACCGCCGCAAGAGUGGACCUGAGGUGCCUGAGGUGCGCGUCCUGCUCUUCAACUCCACGGGUGACCGGGACCCGGCGCCCCUGCUGAAGCUGUUGCGGCCCUGCCAGUUUGACUAUGCUGUUUUCUGCCCUAACUUGACGGAGGUGGCAUCCACGGGCAACGCAGACCAGCAGAACUUCAUGGUGACCCUGGACCAGGUGUUGCUCCGCUGCUUGGAACACCAGCAGCACUGGAGCCGCCUGGAUGAGGAGGCGGCCAGCCCGGACCUCUGGAGCACCCCCAGCCCCGAGGCUGGUGGGCCGGCGGCCCUGCUGCUGGCACCCCGCCUGCCCCACACCCACGGCACCAGCUCCCUCGUCUUCAGCUGCAUCUCCCAUGCUUUGCAGUGGAUCAGCCAGGGCCGGGACCCUGACUUCCAGACACCCAGUUCCCCACGGGACCUUCUCGCCCACCCUGUGGCAAACAGCGGGGCCAGCGUGCUCCGAGAGGCUGCUGCCAUCCACGUGCUGGUCACGGGAAGCCUGCACCUGGUGGGCGGCGUCCUGAAGCUGCUGGAUCCCUCCCUGUCCCAGUAGCUGAGGCCGUGGGGUUGGAGGUGGGGCCUCCCACACCCACCUUGCGUCUCUCCGUGAACUCCCACAACAGAAGGGGCGGCUGAGCCCCGCUGAAGACACAUGGCGAGCCAGUCAGGGCGAGUUCCCUGAGGCCUGGAGGGGCCCCGGGACCGGGACCAGAUGUUCGCACGGUGACCAUCCAUCUCACCCGCUGCAGUGAUGAGCUUGACAGGAGGCUGACGACCACCUGCAGAGACAGAGCCACGAGCUGGUCAGCCAGAAAUGACGGAGGACACCCCACCCACUUCGCCGUUUUACGGAAGGGGAGGCGGAGCCAACCCUGGCUACCCGGGCCUUGUCUUCCUACCGAGCACCACGCCCCACUCUCCCCAAAGCCCCUCAGCCCAGAAGAUCAAGGAGGUGCCUGAGGGGGGCACCCAGUAGGCCGCUCCCUUUCCUGCCCCAGCUCUUACCUCGUUGUUGACCACACUUUCUGUCACUUUCAUGCCGCAGCUGGAGUAGGUGCUGUGCAAGACAAGCUGGUCGCCUCUGUCCUCAGCCUGGCAGCGGGGGUCCAAGAAGGUCAGGCUGCUGAUGUCGCACUUCAGAGACUAGGCCAGGGUUGGGGGACACCGUCAGGAGGCACCCGGCUCCCUGGGUCCUGUCCACCCCAGCACCAAGGACGGAUCCAAACCCAGGGCCACAGCCCUCUGCUUCCCUCUCUGCUUUUGUUAGAUUUUGUCAUCCUGCACCGUUUGAGACGAUACCUUUCCUGAAUUUGACUUGCUUUUGUACUUAAUCUUGUCUUAAGCAAUAAAAUGUGCGACACCGUGAGUUU